ensembl:lncRNA
GUAUUGUGAGGAUAAUAAAUAUUCAUUAUUGUGUUAUCCACUAAGUUUUGGGGGGUAAUUUGUUACGCAGCAGUAGAGAACUAAUGCAGUUUCAAGGUCAUCUAGUAGGGGCUGCCAUCUAUGGGGUUGCAAAGAGUCGGACACGACUGAAGCGACUUAGCAGCAGCAGUGCAUCUAAAAUGUGACUUGCUUUAUAAAAACUCCAUAGACCUCCAACUUUAUAUAUAUAUAUAUAAAACAAUGCUGGAUAAAGUGGGCUACAACUGCUGAUGUGUAAAUGGAGCUUGCAUAGGUUCAGUGGAGAAAGAACAGUCCUGGGGACAUAAAAUACAGAAAAUUGUCAGAUAGGCUUCUGUCUGGCACUUACAUUGGGAAUAUCAUUUUGAGGCAGUGAGUCCCUGGGGGAGGCAUGUGUUCGCCAGGAAGCUAGUACAAAGACCCUCACCCAGGGGUGCAUGCUCAGUGAAAGCUCUUGUCCCCUGAUUUGAGUGCCCAUUGUCGGUUAUUAAUGGUGCUCACACAGAAUGCAGUGCGUGGCUGGGGCCUGCUCAGCGGCUGGCAGUCUGGACCUCAACAAAGGCUGCAGCUGUUGUUGUUGUCUUCACUUAACUUCAGAAUGACCUGAAAUUACAUCCCCCAGUGGUGAAUCAGCCAGAAUAGCACACCGUUGAGGAUGUUAAUUAACCCCCUACAGGAUACACAAGAUAGAAAAUAACCACUUGGAGAGCUGCAGAGUCUCCCUAAUCCUCAUCAGAUCAAUGCAGCUGCCAUCGCUCUGGGCACAUUUCUUUUCAGUGCCAGGAAUGGUGCCAAAUGAGAGGCUCUGGGGGCUUCCAGCCUCCCUGCCCUUCUGCCACCAGGGAUCACCAGCCAGGGUUUGAUGACUUGAUCUGACAGAGGUGUUUGGUCCCCUGGGAUCCCCUCCUCCUCUCAGUGUGUCUGCCUGCAUGGCUCACAGAGGUGCAGAUGGCUGGCCUGGCUGGCCACUCAACAGUCAUGUCACAUCUGGACAAUGACUGACAUCAAGGAAGGAGAAGACAGAAAACCCAGAUAGCAGGCCCUGCCCUGAGCCCCACUCCAGGUUGCAAUGCUUGCUCCUAAUGAUGACAGUGGAUUGAAAUGAAAACAUCAAGUCAUGACCCUUGCUUCAAAAAACAAUCUCAUUGCCUUGAGUCAUGAUGGGCAGAGAAAAUACCCUGGACAGCUUGGGAUCUUCAUACGUGGAGAGAGAACUGAGAACAACUUCUGUAAAUAUAAUAUUAUAAAGUUAUUAAGGUUGUAAUAAAACAGAUUGAUUUAAAAAAGAAAAAGAUCCACGUACAUGUAUAUGAUCAGUUUAUUCAGAAUGAGAGGGAUUUUUUAAAAUCAUCAUCUUGGGAGACUGUAAUUCCUUCCAAAUACUAUCUAAAAUGCUUUCCAUUCCAUUUACAAACUGUGUUCACAACUUGUUCACACUCUCCUUCCUUUCUGGUUUCGGUUGGCUACAGCCCCACCACAUAAUGAUGUCUCCCAGCUUGAUCACAUACCUUGCUCACGAGGCUUACUUUCAAAUGACUCCAGUUGUUUCCAAAGAAUCAAAUGCACCCAUUUGAGGCUAUGGAGAACUUUUCAUAAAAAUCUACAGCAAGGCUCUAGGGACAGUUUUAAAAUACAGUGAGCUAUGGCAACAUGGUUUGAAGAACAUUUGCCAUUUGGAUGUAUAAGCUCUGAUUUGUUUGUUAAAAUAAUAAUUAAAGUUGUCCUUGAACUUCCCAAGUG